rnacentral:rRNA from 1 species
UACGGAGGGGGCUAGCGUUGUUCGGAAUUACUGGGCGUAAAGCGCACGUAGGCGGCUUUGUAAGUCAGAGGUGAAAUCCCGGGGCUCAACUCCGGAACUGCCUUUGAAACUGCAUCGCUUGAAUGUCGGAGAGGUGAGUGGAAUUCCGAGUGUAGAGGUGAAAUUCGUAGAUAUUCGGAAGAACACCAGUGGCGAAGGCGGCUCACUGGACGACUAUUGACGCUGAGGUGCGAAAGCGUGGGGAGCAAACAGG